rnacentral:rRNA from 1 species
AUUGAACGCUGGCGGCAGGCCUAACACAUGCAAGUCGAGCGGUAGCGCAGAGAGCUUGCUCUCGGGUGACGAGCGGCGGACGGGUGAGUAAUGUCUGGGAAACUGCCUGAUGGAGGGGGAUAACUACUGGAAACGGUAGCUAAUACCGCAUAACGUCGCAAGACCAAAGUGGGGGACCUUCGGGCCUCAUGCCAUCAGAUGUGCCCAGAUGGGAUUAGCUGGUAGGUGGGGUAACGGCUCACCUAGGCGACGAUCCCUAGCUGGUCUGAGAGGAUGACCAGCCACACUGGAACUGAGACACGGUCCAGACUCCUACGGGAGGCAGCAGUGGGGAAUAUUGCACAAUGGGCGCAAGCCUGAUGCAGCCAUGCCGCGUGUGUGAAGGAGGCCUUCGGGUUGUAAAGCACUUUCAGCGGGGAGGAAGGCGGUGAGGUUAAUAACCUCAUCGAUUGACGUUACCCGCAGAAGAAGCACCGGCUAACUCCGUGCCAGCAGCCGCCGUAA